AUUGAACGCUAGCGGGAGGCUUUACACAUGCAAGUCGAACGGAGUGGCGGACGGGUGAGUAAUAUAUCGGAACGUGCCCAGUAGCGGGGGAUAACUACUCGAAAGAGUGGCUAAUACCGCAUACCAUCGGAUGGGCCGAUAUGGGAUUAGCUAGUUGGUGGGGUAAAGGCUCACCAAGGCAACGAUCCGUAGCUGGUUUGUGAGGACGACCAGCCACAAUGGAACUGAGACACGGCCCAGACUCCUACGGGAGGCAGCAGUGGGGAAUAUGGGACAAUGGGGGAAACCCUGAUGCAGCCAUCCCGCGUGUAUGAUGAAGGCCUUCGGGUUGUAAAGUACUUUCUGCAGGGAAGCGGUAUCUGCAGAAUAAGCACCGGCUAACUACGUGCCAGCAGCCGCGGUAAUUC
rnacentral:rRNA from 1 species